CCUACGGGGGGCAGCAGUGAGGAAUAUUGGUCAAUGGACGAGAGUCUGAACCAGCCAAGUAGCGUGAAGGAUGACUGCCCUAUGGGUUGUAAACUUCUUUUAUAAAGGAAUAAAACGAGGCACGUGUGCCUUUUUGCAUGUACUUUAUGAAUUAGGAUCGGAUAACUCCGUGCCAGCAGCCGCGGUAAUACGGAGGAUCCGAGCGUUAUCCGGAUUUAUUGGGUUUAAAGGGAGCGUAGAUGGGUUGUUAAGUUAGUUGGGAAAGUUUGCGGCUCAACCGUAAAAUUGCAAUUGAUACUGGCAGUCUUGAGUACAGGUGAGGUAGGCGGAAUUCGUGGUGUAGCGGUGAAAUGCUUAGAUAUCACGAAGAACCCCGAUUGCGAAGGCAGCUUACUAAACUGUGACUGACAUUGAUGCUCGAAAGUGUGGGUAUCAAACAGGAUUAGAUACCCGUGUAGUC
rnacentral:rRNA from 1 species